CACCCCUUGGUGAAGAUAUGCUAUAAGGGCACGGUUUAGUACUCUCCGAAAGGAGCGCAGGAAACACCGUGAGGCAAAAGGAG
rnacentral:sRNA from 12 species